UACGUAGGGGGCAAGCGUUGUCCGGAUUUACUGGGCGUAAAGGGCGCGUAGGCGGCAAUUCAAGUCAGCUGUGAAAUCUCUGGGCUUAACCCAGAACGGCCAGCUGAUACUGCUUUGCUAGAGUGCAGAAGGGGCAAUCGGAAUUCUUGGUGUAGCGGUGAAAUGCGUAGAUAUCAAGAGGAACACCUGAGGUGAAGACGGGUUGCUGGGCUGACACUGACGCUGAGGCGCGAAAGCCAGGGGAGCAAACGGG
rnacentral:rRNA from 1 species